AUGACUGGAGCAAAAGGUGGUAUCCCAGCUCUCCACUGGGCAAGUCACUCGGGAAAACUUGAUAUGCCUGUGCAACAAGGCCCAGCCUGAAUGCCUGGAAGGUUUUGGGUGCUUUCAAUUCCAUGAGUGGACUCUGUGUCUCCCGAGAACUCAAGAUUAACAGUGCUGGCUUGUUCCCAGCCACUGCUAUUGGGCCACUGAUAAACCGGGGCGCAACAGCAAAGGGGUCCAUCUCCUUCCAACUCUUUCCAACUGUGUUUUACUCCACACUGGAAUUUGAAAACACUUUGAAUAAACGGCUGGCCUUUGGAGUAAGUUCAUUUCAAGACUCCUCUCAUUCUGGAGCUGCCUGAAUAACCUCCCUUGGAAACCGAACUAUAUACAUCCUGAUUUCCACAGGCAGGGGUUUUGCGUGGCUGCCUCCUAGCGUGGAGGUGACAGCCAUAUCCUGUCCCCACUGAAGUUCUCAGCAAAAGAGACCGUCACUGUAUAAUCCCAUCCCACCGCGCCGGAUGCAUCUAAAACAGUGGCUUCUUUCCAUGCUUCUUCAGUGAGUUAAGGGUGUUAUUAACUCCUAGCACCUCUAAUUGCUCACUGAAAACAGUGGUUUGGAUAUUAAUAGGCUAUAAAUCAAGGCCCUACCUAAGGCUUGUUGUCACGGAAACUGUACUCAAGCCUCGCAGCUAUUAUCCCUUUGGGAAGUCUGGGGCUACCCUGCACGAACUGCCCGACGUCCAGAGGCUCAGCCCCCUCUGCUGCCCUGAACUGUCCUCCCAGCCUUGGCGCUGGGCAGCCAAGAGCGAGCUAGCCAAGUUCCAGAAGAGGAUCCGACACGCCCGGAGGUUGAGA